UCUCUCUCUCUCUCUCUCUCAUGUGUGUGUGUGUAUACAUAAUUCUACAUGAAGCACAAUCAUGGUGUUGACAGAGUUCAGCUGUCGUCGACUGCAGAAGAAAAUAUAUCCAGUUGAACACAAGCUAGCACUACAAUAUAUCGUUUGUUCAUGAGGUCGAAAUUGCUGGGUGUAAAAAAAGCAGAAAGAAAAAGGAGAGAGCAGCAGCAGCAGCACCAGUAAAAGUAUAAUAGACAGGAGCAGUAGAGUGGCUGCAGCCCACAGAAGCACAAACAAGAGAAAAUAGUAUUGGGAGAGAUUGGUUGCGAGUUUUAAAAGAGUUGGGAUCUCGAGGCCUCAAAAUUCAAACAUCUGGUAACUCAGAGACAGCGACUCCACAAUUACAGGGGGGUCGGUCAUAUUCAACAAUAUCUCAAUUCAUCUUGCUUUGCUUCCAUUGCAUUCAAACACACCACUGGAGCUGGAGGAGUUGAAUUGCUUUGCUUUGGAAUGUGGAUGCUUCAUCCUGUCUGCAUAGUUAACGAGAAAAACUCGGUCCGUGAACUGGGGACUUUGCUGCGGAUUAUUAUUUAC
rnacentral:sRNA from 1 species